AUGAUUGACCGAAAGGUCUUAUCUUAACAUCCCUCACCUCUGUGAACCGUUUGACCUCCGGGUCUAACAAACUAUACAAACAUCAGUGUAAUGAACGUCUUGUUAUCUUAACAAAAACA
rnacentral:misc_RNA from 1 species